GGCCCGCACAAGCGGUGGAGUAUGUGGUUUAAUUCGAAGCAACGCGCAGAACCUUACCCAGCCUUGACAUCUUCGGAAUCCCUGCGAAAUCAGGGAGUGCCUCCUUACGGAGGAAUCGAAUGACAGGUGCUGCAUGGCUGUCGUCAGCUCGUGUCGUGAGAUGUUCGGUUAAGUCCGGCAACGAGCGCAACCCCUAUCGUUAGUUGCUACCAGUUCGGCUGGGCACUCUAGCGAGACUCCCGGUGUUAAACCGGCGGAAGAUGGGGAUGACGUCAAGUCCUCAUGGCCCUUAUGGCUGGGGCUACACACGUACUACAAUGGUGACUACAGAGGGCAGCGAGACCGCAAGGUGGAGCCAAAUCCCAAAAAGGUCGCCUCAGUUCGGAUUGGAGUCUGCAACUCGACUCCAUGAAGUUGGAAUCGCUAGUAAUCG
rnacentral:rRNA from 1 species